rnacentral:rRNA from 1 species
CUCCUACGGGAGGCAGCAGUGGGGAAUAUUGGACAAUGGGCGAAAGCCUGAUCCAGCCAUGCCGCGUGUGUGAAGAAGGUCUUCGGAUUGUAAAGCACUUUAAGUUGGGAGGAAGGGCAGUAAAUUAAUACUUUGCUGUUUUGACGUUACCGACAGAAUAAGCACCGGCUAACUCUGUGCCAGCAGCCGCGGUAAUACAGAGGGUGCAAGCGUUAAUCGGAAUUACUGGGCGUAAAGCGCGCGUAGGUGGUUCGUUAAGUUGGAUGUGAAAUCCCCGGGCUCAACCUGGGAACUGCAUUCAAAACUGACGAGCUAGAGUAUGGUAGAGGGUGG